rnacentral:misc_RNA from 1 species
UCCGGCUUACACCGGCGGUCUCUUGUGAGUGCCCGACUUUAAUCGCUGGUAACACAAGACGAGGGUUGCGCUCGUUGGCGGACUUAACCGUACACCUCACGGCACGAGCUGACGACAGCCAUGCAACAUCUGUCUUCAGGUCCCCUUGUGGGGGAGGGCCCUAUCUCUAGGGCUUGCCAUCGAUGUCAAGCGUGGGUAAGGUUCUUCGGUUAGUAUCGAAUUAAUCCACAUGCUCCACCGCUUGUGCGGGUCCCCGUCAAUUCAUUUGAGUUUCAACCUUGCGGCCGUACUCCCCAGGCGGGAUACUUAAUGCGUUAGCUGCGGCACAGAAGGGGUCGAUACCUUCUACGCCUAGUAUCCAUCGUUUAGGGCGUGGACUAC